UACGUAGGGUGCGAGCGUUAAUCGGAAUUACUGGGCGUAAAGCGUGCGCAGGCGGUGAUGUAAGACAGGUGUGAAAUCCCCGGGCUUAACUUGGGAAUUGCGCUCGAAACUACUUGGCUCGAGUGUGGCAGAGGAAGGUGGAAUUCCAGGUGUAGCGGUGAAAUGCGUAGAGAUCUGGAGGAACACCGAUGGCGAAGGCAGCCUUCUGGGCCAACACUGACGCUCAUGCACGAAAGCGUGGGGAGCAAACAGG
rnacentral:rRNA from 1 species